rnacentral:rRNA from 1 species
UAUCAGCACCCCGAGUGGUCGGGACGUUUAUUGGGCCUAAAGCAUCCGUAGCCGGUUCUACAAGUCUUCCGUUAAAUCCAACUGCUUAACAGGUGGGCUGCGGAAGAUACUAUAGAGCUAGGAGGCGGGAGAGGCAAGCGGUACUCGAUGGGUAGGGGUAAAAUCCGUUGAUCCAUUGAAGACCACCAGUGGCGAAGGCGGCUUGCCAGAACGCGCUCGACGGUGAGGGAUGAAAGCUGGGGGAGCAAACCGG